rnacentral:rRNA from 1 species
UGUAUUUAUUAGAUUCAAAGCCAAUGCCCCCCGGGGCUCACUGGUGAUUCAUGAUAACUCCUCGAAUCGCACGGCCUUGCGCUGGCGAUGGUUCAUUCAAAUUUCUUCCCUAUCAACUUUCGAUGUUUGGGUAGUGGCCAAACAUGGUGACAACGGGUAACGGAGGGUCAUCGCUCGACCCCGGAGAAGGAGCCUGAGAAACGGCUACUACAUCCAAGGAAGGCAGCAGGCGCGCAAAUUACCCAAUCCCGACGCGGGGAGGUAGUGACAAUAAAUACUGAUACAGGGCCCUUUUGGGUCUUGUAAUUGGCAUGAGUACAACUUAAAUCCCUUAACGAGGAGCAAUUGAAGGGCAAGUCUGGUGCCAGCAGCCGCGGUAAUUCCAGCUUCAAUAGCGUAUCUGCAUGAUGUUGUGGUUAAAAAGCUCGUAGUUGAACCUCGGGCCUGGUGGGCUGGUCCGCCUCACCGCGUGCACUAGUCCCACCGGGCCUUCCCCCCUGCGGAACCCCAUGCCCUUCACUGGGCGUGGCGGGGAAACAGGACGUUUACCGUGAAAAAAUUAGAGUGCUCCAGGCAGGCUUAUGCUCGAAUACAUUAGCAUGGAAUAAUGAAAUAGGACGCGCGGUUCUAUUUUGUUGGUUUCUGGGACCGCCGUAAUGAUUAAUAGGGACAGUCGGGGGCAUCAGUAUUCAAUUGUCAGAGGUGAAAUUCUUAGAUUUAUUGAAGACUAACUACUGCGAAAGCAUUUGCCAAGGAUGUUUUCAUUAAUCAGGAACGAAAGUUAGGGGAUCGAAGACGAUCAGAUGCCGUCGUAGUCUUAA